rnacentral:rRNA from 1 species
GACGAACGCUGGCGGCGUGCCUAACACAUGCAAGUCGAGCGAGAGACUUCGGUCUCUAGCGGCGGACGGGUGAGUAACACGUGGGUAACCUGCCUCAUAGAGGGGGAUAGCCUUCCGAAAGGAAGAUUAAUACCGCAUAUACUCUUGAUACCGCAUGGUAUUUAGAGGAAAGGAGCAAUCCGCUAUGAGAUGGACCCAGCGGCGCAUUAGCUAGUUGGUGAGGUAACGGCUCACCAAGGCGACGAUGGGUAGCCGACCUGAGAGGGUGAACGGCCACAUUGGAACUGAGACACGGUCCAAACUCCUACGGGAGGCAGCAGUGGGGAAUAUUGCACAAUGGGCGAAAGCCUGAUGCAGCAACGCCGCGUGAGUGAUGACGGCCUUCGGGUUGUAAAGCUCUGUCUUUUGGGACGAUAAUGACGGUACCAAAGGAGGAAGCCACGGCUAACUACGUGCCAGCAGCCGCCGUAAAAC